rnacentral:rRNA from 1 species
CAAUAGCGUAUAUUAAAGUUGUUGCAGUUAAAAAGCUCGUAGUUGGAUUUCGGGGCAGCCUGGCUGGUCCGCCGCAAGGCGAGUACUGGUCAGCCGCCCUUCCUCUCGAAAGCCCCGACUGCUCUUCGUUGCAGUGGUCGGGUAGUUCGGGACGUUUACUUUUAAAAAAUUAGAGUGUUCAAGGCAGGCCUACGCCUGAAUACAUUAGCAUGGAAUAAUGGAAGAGGACCUCGGUCCUAUUUUGUUGGUUUCCAGGGCCGAAGUAAUGAUUAAGAGGGACAGUUGGGGGCAUUCGUAUUUAAUUGUCAGAGGUGAAAUUCUCGGAUUUAUGAAAGACGAACAACUGCGAAAGCAUUUGCCAAGGAUGUUUUCAUUAA